AUUGAAGGAUAUAAUUACCUAAAUAUUGUAAUAACGAUUUAUACAUUUACAUAUUAGUAUUAUUAUGUGGAAAUAAUAAAAGAUUUGUUAAUACAUUUAAAAAUAAAAACAGAAACAUUUUCUGCGGUCUCUUAAUGUAGUAUGAAUCAAAACAAAUUUUCUAUAAUUUCAUUCUCAGAAUUUGGAAACAAUUAUUUCUUACGCGAGGCCCUUUUUCAAGCGGGGGGACCAACUUCACGCAGUCAUAACGGACUAAACUUGUCCAAUUUAGGACAAUCUUUCGAUAAUGUUGAGAAUUUUUUCAAAAUGUUUGUAAAUUAUUUUUUAGAAGUUACUAACCACCAAUUUGUCUGAUUUUCUACUUACUAAACAUGCUUGCCAUAGCUAUUGCCGCUAUAGAUCAUAUGCAAAUGAUUUAAUCUAAUUACGAUUGCCUUCUAAACUACACUGUGAGGGGUGGUGAAGCCCUGGUUCAGCUACUACAUUAUUAGGUUGACGAUAGUCAAUGAAAAAAAAAAAAUAAUAAAUACAAUGUACCAGAGCAUGCUUUGUCUUGUAAUACUCAGAAAAGUAGUAGAAGUACAUUUGUACUCUCAUGACGACUUUCAAGUACCGGUCAUUUAUGACAUACAUAAUAACGGCAAGUGCCCAAAACCGGUACGUCCUGUUGUACAAUGUCACCCAGUGUACAGUUUCAAAUAUAAC